UACGAAGGGGGCUAGCGUUGUUCGGAAUUACUGGGCGUAAAGGGCGCGUAGGCGGUACUUCAAGUCAGGCGUGAAAGCCCCGGGCUCAACCUGGGAACCGCGCUUGAGACUGGAGAACUAGAGUUCGGGAGAGGAUGGUGGAAUUCCCAGUGUAGAGGUGAAAUGCGUAGAUAUUGGGAGGAACACCAGUGGCGAAGGCGGCUCACUGGACUGGUACUGACGCUGAGGCGGCGAAAGCGUGGGGAGCAAACAGGG
rnacentral:rRNA from 1 species